CCGUGCCCGCAUCCCACCUCCACCCGGGAACAGGGUCCGGGUGCUGACCCUGCGGCCGCGCUGCCCUCUCCCUGUCCCCGAGGCUGGUGCCUCCUCGUCCCGAGAGGCUGCGGGUAAUGGGAGAGAGACUGUUUUCCUCGGCGGAAGGACACGGAGGGGCUCUACAACAACCGUGAGGGGAUUUACAGCAUCCCUACCCCAGAAGAACAAAACUACUUGGAGGGAAAGGAAAUCUGUCAAAGAUACUGUGACCAAGGAGCCCAUGGCACUUGUGCAGAGAAGGCAGGGAAUCACUACAGAGGAAGGACCUGCUGGGCUGCCACACUGCCAAGGCCAAUUCUUUUAACUGGAUGUUGCAAAAAAUAAUCGAAGAACAGAAUUUAUUUUCGUAAUUGAAAGAUCUGGCUGAAGACUUGAGAUUAUUCCAACCAUGCACAGUAUGAACAGCUCAGAGACUCCCUGGCUAAAAAUAAUGACACAUCUGAGACCUGUGAAAGAACCUGAUCAGCCAUGGCCUUGGCAGGUAACACCUGACCAAAGCCGAGACAUCAUUGCUUCUGUUCAGUGCAUCUUGGACAGAGAAAAUUGUUUUGUGAGGGAGGUGGACAGAUACAUAAGGCACAAUGAUUUCCUAAAUCUGAGAAAGAAGGAGAUCGUGUACAAAGAAUGGCUUAAGGAUGUUUUAGAGCCAGUGCUGCAGAAAAUUGAGGACGAAAUGGGCAGCCAGUCAAUUGAAGAAAUGCAGAAAAGGAAACAAGAACAAUUGUCUCAGUAUUUAAACUACUGUAAAAAGAAGGGCUAUGUGUUUUUGGACCACUUUGACCCAUCAGAGUAUGAUCCGUUCUCCCAGAAGAUGUGCACAGACUGCUGGAAGGUGUGAGAAUGAAAGUCAUCAAUCACCACAAUGACAGCGAGAGCCAAUGAUGUCACCUGUCCCCCAGCUGACCAGAGCAGCAAGCACAGCCAUCAGAAGGUACCCUUUAUAAAACAGGUUACAUCUGCUGCCAAAGCAAGUGAUAACAGGCCAGGUCUUCUGGCAAACUGCAAUAAACUUACUGUCUUGAA